rnacentral:rRNA from 1 species
GUAAGGGCGUGUAGGCGGUUUUGCAAGUCUGGUGUGAAAGAUCUCAGCUUAACUGAGGGAGUGCGCUGGAAACUGUAAGGCUAGAAUCUAGGAGGGGAAGCUGGAAUUCCUGGUGUAGGGGUGAAAUCUGUAGAUAUCAGGAAGAACACCGGUGGCGAAGGCGAGCUUCUGGCCAUAGAUUGACGCUGAGGCGCGAAAGCGUGGGGAGCGAACAGGAUUAGAUACCCUGGUAGUCCACGCUGUAAACGAUGUGCACUAGGUGUUGGAUUUUAAAGUUCAGUGCCGUAGCUAACGCGUUAAGUGCACCGCCUGGGGAGUAUGCCCGCAAGGGUGAAACUCAAAGGAAUUGACGGGGGCCCGCACAAGCGGUGGAGCAUGUGGUUUAAUUCGAUGAUACGCGAGAAACCUUACCAGGGCUUGACAUAUUUUUGAUGUUCACAGAGAUGUGGAUUUCUCUUCGGAGACAAUAAUACAGGUGCUGCAUGGUUGUCGUCAGCUCGUGCUGUGAAGUGUUGGGUUAAGUCCCGCAACGAGCGCAACCCCUGCUGUCUGUUGCCAUCAUUAAGUUGGGGACUCAGACGGUACUGCCGGUGACAAACCGGAGGAAGGUGGGGACGACGUCAAAUCAUCAUGGCCCUUAUGUCCUGGGCUACACACGUGCUACAAUGGCAGGUACAGAGCGACGCAAGACCGCGAGGUAGAGCAAAUCGCAGAAAGCCUGUCCCAGUACAGAUUGAAGUCUGAAACUCGACUUCAUGAAGGUGGAAUCGCUAGUAAUCGCGCAUCAGCAUGGCGCGGUGAAUACGUU